CAAUUUAAAACUAAGGGAGAUAAUUCCAUCAAAAGUGCUAAAGUCACGUGAUGCAAAUCAUAUGAGUAAAGCUCCUAUGAUUUUGCCAUAUGAAAUUUAAUAUAUAAAAAAAUACAUACAUAAAUCAUCAAAUCCAGAUAAAUUACAAAUAAAAAAGUAUAUUCAAAUAGAAAAAUAGAAAAAAAAUAUCAGAUAAAGCUAGCACUAGUUUAGAAGGGUUAGUAAUAUCUGAAGAAAUUACAGAAGCAGUGUUUAAAAUUAAACUUACCAAGGCUCAAGGUUUAGAUGGACUUGAUGUAGAAUUCUAUAGGAAGUUUUGGCCCCAAAUCCAAAAAUUACUACCCAAAGUAUAAAGUGAGUCCUAUAAUAAGAAAAGUUCGACAAAUACACAAAAAAGGGGGAGGGUGGGAAUUUACUAAUACUAAUCUUUAAAAAGAAUGAUCCAAAAUCUACGGAUAACUAUAAACUGUUGUUGUCAAAAUACUUGCUUAUACAUUUGCGCAUUGGCUAAAGAUAUUUUACCAAGUAUUGUAAAUGCUGACCAGAAAGGUUAUGUGAAAAAUAGUUACAAAGUGUUUAAUUAAAGACAAAUUCAAAAUGUAAUUGACUAUGCUAAAAAUUUCAAUGUAGAGGCGGCAUUUUUAUUUCCCCUUCUUUUCAAAAGCUUUUGAUUCAAUUGAAUGGAUUUUCAUGACACAAAUAUUAAAAAAAUUCGGAUUUAAAAAAGAAUUUUGACGUUGGGUUGAGAAUAUGUAUAAUGAUAUAUCUGGGUCAUUGUAAUUAAUUGGUGGAUAUCAAACCCUUUUAAGAUCUAUCUUGGAAUACGACAAGGAUAUACGUUGUCUGCUAUGAUUUUUGUACUAGCGGUGGAAGUACUAGCAUGCAAAAUUAGAUCUGAGAAAGCAUCAAAGGGUUCAAAAUUAAAUUAAAUGGUACUAUAAAAAGAUGUCAAUUUGUAGAUGAUACAACCCUAUUUUAAAAUCCGAAGAGGAAAUAUCUUUAGUUAUGAACUUAAUACAAUCUUUUGGCUCAUUCUCUGGCUUAAAAUUAAAUAGAACAAAAACUGAAGGAAUUUGGCUAGGCAGACUAAAGACUAAAGACAAUUCGAACGAAUCAAUUAGACGAAAAGUUUAGGCAUUUAUUUUGGGUACAAUAAAGAAAAGUUUUUCAAAAACAAGCUGAUAAAAAAGAAAACAUUAUAAGUAUGUGGUCAAAAAGAAAGAUAUGUACGGUAGGAAUAAUAACCGUAGUGAAGUCUCUUAUAAUCCCACAUACAACAUAUAUAUCAAGCAAUAUGAUAAGGCCAAAACAUUUUAUACAAAACAUAAAAACUAUGAUAUAUAACUAUUUCUUAAAUGGAAAAAAG
rnacentral:lncRNA from 1 species